GGUGUUGAAAGCGUUCCACAGGGAUGCUGGCCCAUGUUGACUCUACAAGGUGUUGAAAGCGUUCCACAGGGAUGCUGGCCCAUGUUGACUCUACUAGGUGUUGAAAGCGUUCCACAGGGAUGCUGGCCCAUGUUGACUCUACUAGGUGUUGAAAGCGUUCCACAGGGAUGCUGGCCCAUGUUGACUCUACUAGGUGUUGAAAGCGUUCCACAGGGAUGCUGGGCCAUGUUGACUCUACUAGGUGUUGAAAGCGUUCCACAGGGAUGCUGGCCCAUGUUGACUCCACAAGGUGUUGAAAGCGUUCCACAGGGAUGCUGGGCCAUGUUGACUCUACUAGGUGUUGAAAGCGUUCCACAGGGAUGCUGGCCCAUGUUGACUCUACAAGGUGUUGAAAGCGUUCCACAGGGAUGCUGGGCCAUGUUGACUCUACUAGGUGUUGAAAGCGUUCCACAGGGAUGCUGGCCCAUGUUGACUCUACAAGGUGUUGAAAGCGUUCCACAGGGAUGCUGGGCCAUGUUGACUCUACUAGGUGUUGAAAGCAUUCCACAGGGAUGCUGGGCCAUGUUGACUCUACUUGGUGUUGAAAGCGUUCCACAGGGAUGCUGACCCAUGU